CCUACGGGGGGCAGCAGUGGGGAAUAUUGGACAAUGGGCGCAAGCCUGAUCCAGCCAUGCCGCGUGUGUGAAGAAGGCCUUCGGGUUGUAAAGCACUUUUGUUGGGGAAGAAAAGACCUGGGUUAAUACCUUGGGUUCAUGACGGUACCCAAAGAAUAAGCACCGGCUAACUUCGUGCCAGCAGCCGCGGUAAUACGAAGGGUGCAAGCGUUACUCGGAAUUACUGGGCGUAAAGCGUGCGUAGGUGGUUCGUUAAGUCUGCCGUGAAAGCCCCGGGCUCAACCUGGGAAUGGCGGUGGAUACUGGCGGACUAGAGUGCGGUAGAGGGUGGUGGAAUUCCCGGUGUAGCAGUGAAAUGCGUAGAGAUCGGGAGGAACAUCUGUGGCGAAGGCGGCCACCUGGACCAGCACUGACACUGAGGCACGAAAGCGUGGGGAGCAAACAGGAUUAGAUACCCCUGUAGUC
rnacentral:rRNA from 1 species